GUUUCCCCGGCUGGAGAGAGGCCUGCCUUGGCUUGGCAGGCCCACCGAAGGAGCAAGCCCCGCAACGCACCGCCCCCGUGGCAGCGCGCACGGCGUGGUGAAUCUCUCAGGUAAAGCGGACAGCGGGCACAGG
rnacentral:ncRNA from 2 species